rnacentral:rRNA from 1 species
GACGAACGCUGGCGGCGUGCUUAACACAUGCAAGUCGAACGGAAAGGCCCUGCUUUUGUGGGGUGCUCGAGUGGCGAACGGGUGAGUAACACGUGAGUAACCUGCCCUUGACUUUGGGAUAACUUCAGGAAACUGGGGCUAAUACCGGAUAGGAGCUCCUGCUGCAUGGUGGGGGUUGGAAAGUUUCGGCGGUUGGGGAUGGACUCGCGGCUUAUCAGCUUGUUGGUGGGGUAGUGGCUUACCAAGGCUUUGACGGGUAGCCGGCCUGAGAGGGUGACCGGCGACAUUGGUACUGAGAUACGGACCAGAAUCCUACGGGAGGCAGCAGUGGGGAAUAUUGCACAAUGGGCGGAAGCCUGAUGCAGCAACGCCGCGUGCGGGAUGACGGCCUUCGGGUUGUAAACCGCUUUCGCCUGUGACGAAGCGUGAGUGACGGUAAUGGGUAAAGAAGCACCGGCUAACUACGUG